GUUGAACGCUGGCGGCGUGCUUAACACAUGCAAGUCGAUCGGUAACAGGUGUAGCAAUACAUGCUGACGAGAGGCGGACGGGUGAGGAACGCUUGGGAAUCUGCCUAUCAGCGGGGGACAACCCGGGGAAACCCGGGCUAAUACCGCAUACGCUCUACGGAGGAAAGCCGGGGACCGCAAGGCCUGGCACUGAUAGAUGAGCCCAAGUCGGAUUAGCUAGUUGGCGGGGUAACGGCCCACCAAGGCGACGAUCCGUAGCUGGUCUGAGAGGACGAUCAGCCACACCGGAACUGAGACACGGUCCGGACUCCUACGGGAGGCAGCAGUGGGGAAUAUUGGACAAUGGGCGAAAGCCUGAUCCAGCGACGCCACGUGGGUGAAGAAGGCCUGCGGGUUGUAAAGCCCUUUCGGUAGGGACGAAAGCUCUCGACCUAACACGUCGGGAGGUUGACUUAACCUACAAAAGAAGCACCGGCUAACUCUGUGCCAGCAGCCGCUGUAAGAC
rnacentral:rRNA from 1 species